CGGGUAGACGAGCUGGCCCCGAUUGAAGUCCAGUUCUAAUGUUUAAAAAGGUAAUAUCAUG
rnacentral:sRNA from 1 species